CAAGUUAUGAACUGAAUCCAG
rnacentral:snRNA from 1 species